AGAGUUUGAUCCUGGCUCAGAACGAACGUUGGCGGUGUGCCUAAUACAUGCAAGUCGCGCGAGAAAGCCGGGGCAACUCGGCGAGUACAGCGGCGGAAGGGUGCGUACUACAUGGAUAACGUACCCCGCAGUCGGGGAUAACCCUCCGAAAGGUGGGCUAAUACCGAGAAUGAAGGCAGGGGGUGGCAUCACUUCCUGCUCAAAGCCGCAAGGCGCUGCGGGAGCGGUCCAUGGCCUAUCAGCUAGUUGGCGGGGUAACGGCCCACCAAGGCGAUGACGGGUAGCCGGACUGAGAGGUUGAACGGCCACACUGGGACUGAGACACGGCCCAGACAUCUACGGAUGGCAGCAGUAGGGAAUCUUGCGCAAUGGGCGAAAGCCUGACGCAGCGACGCCGCGUGAGGGAUGACGGCCUUCGGGUUGUAAACCUCUUUCAGCCCUGACGAAGCGAGAGUGACGGUAGGGGCAGAAGAAGCACCGGCCAACUACGUGCCAGCAGCCGCGGUAAU
rnacentral:rRNA from 1 species